rnacentral:tRNA from 1 species
AUUUAAAUAGUUUAUAUAAAAUAUUGAUUUGUGGUAUCAAAGAAAAUUUAAUUAAUUUUUAAAUU